UUGCCUCAGUAACGGCGAGUGAAGCGGCAACAGCUCAAAUUUGAAAUCUGGCCUCUGGCCCGAGUUGUAAUUUGCAGAGGAUGUUUCUGGCGAGGUGCCUUCCGAGUUCCCUGGAACGGGACGCCAUAGAGGGUGAGAGCCCCGUACGGUUGGUCGCUAAGCCUCUGUGAAACUCCUUCGACGAGUCGAGUAGUUUGGGAAUGCUGCUCUAAAUGGGAGGUGUACGCCUUCUAAAGCUAAAUAUAGGCUAGAGACCGAUAGCGCACAAGUAGAGUGAUCGAAAGAUGAAAAGCACUUUGAAAAGAGGGUUAAAUAGUACGUGAAAUUGUUGAAAGGGAAGCGCUCUUGACCAGACUUGCGCCGGUUGAUCAUCCACCGUUCUCGGUGGUGCACUCUGCCGGCUCAGGCCAGCAUCAGUUCGGCUUGGGGGAUAAAGGCUUCGGGAAUGUGGCUCUCUCCGGGGAGUGUUAUAGCCCGUUGCGUAAUACCCUGGGCCGGACUGAGGUUCGCGCAUCUGCAUGGAUGCUGGCGUAAUGGUCAUCAGUGACCCGUCUUGAA
rnacentral:rRNA from 1 species